UCUGAAGACAGCCUCCCACCCCACCCCACUGCAUCAUGCUCUUCCAGGACAGCUACAGGAAGAAAAGGAGAUAACAGAAUCUAAUGAUGUCCCAUAAGAUCUCCAGUCAAGGUGUGAACAUGAAGCUCCAUUUGCCUAUCUUUACCAAGAGCUUGACGAUUUGAACCACUGACUGAUUGCCCUGUACUUGGAGGAUGUGAGGAAGCAGAAUUGAGCCACUAAAGAGAAGAGGAAGAAGGAGCCACAGAACUGAGUGGGAUGUCCCCUGAGCACUCCUUGGUGGAGCAAAAGUCUUGCAAGUCUCUAGUGCGCUGGGCAGGCUGAGGGCGUUCAGCCGAGAACACAGCUCUGUAAAUACAUCAGCGAGGAUGCAUAUAUACAGUUUCCCCAGUGCUCCCUCAGACCCUUGGAGGCUGGGCUACUCCAAGCUCUGUUUCCUGCAAAAAAAUGGAGUAAGUCCUGUGGAGUCUAAAUACACAUUCCCUCUGCAUUAUGCCCACGCCUCGACUUCAUUAUAUCUAGGAGCACUGAGACAAAGAGAUUUAUAAUAAACUUCACCCAAGCCAAGAAUGAAACACUGCAGCCUCCAUGCAGCAGGAAACCCAUUGAACUGUUUCUUAUAAGCAUGUGGUUCUACGCUGUUUUUCUGCCAAAGCUUUUCCCUGCCUCCCACUUGAGGAGCAUACACCAGCUGAUUCUGCAGAUUGACUCUACAUCAUUCUCUUGUCAUGAAGCCAUGGCAUGUGUUUAUGCGUCUGUAACAAAGCGUUUAUAUUCUGCCAUCUGCAUAAAAACUGCUGAAGGACAUUUCAGCAAGAAUCCCUAUGGUUUAUGCAGCUGCAUGUUGAACAUGAAAAUCUAAGAUAUGACAGUGGUCUUUCAUUCAUACAACCUUUGAAUUUUGGUAAAGUUCUGAUAUAAUGUUAAAGAGUGGUAUUUUGAGGACUACGCAUCAAGAUAUAAACAUGGCACAUCUUUUAUAAUAUCAGCCACUGGAAGACAUUUGAAAUAAUAUUUGUAUAAUUGUGGGCUGUAUUAUCUUUCUUUCUUGCACAUAAUAAAGUUUCACUGGAAGUAAA
rnacentral:antisense_RNA from 1 species